GGUGCUGUGGCUUAGUUGGUUAAAGUGCCUGCCUAAUAAGCCGGAGGUUAUGGGUUCGAAUCCCAGCGGUGCCU